UACGUAGGGGGCAAGCGUUGUCCGGAUUUAUUGGGUUUAAAGGGUGCGUAGGCGGCUCUAUAAGUCAGUGCUGAAAUAUCCCGGCUUAACCGGGAGGGUGGCAUUGAUACUGUAGGGCUUGAGUGUAGUCGAGGUAGGCGGAAUUGACGGUGUAGCGGUGAAAUGCUUAGAUAUCGUCAAGAACACCGAUAAUGUAGACAGCUUACUAGGCUACAACUGACGCUGAGGCACGAAAGUGUGGGGAUCAAACAGG
rnacentral:rRNA from 1 species